rnacentral:lncRNA from 1 species
AUUUAAAUUUUGAUUUAAAUUCAGGAAGUUCUGGAAAAAGAUAGAUUCUUAUUUAUAUGUAUCUCUGUUUAAGCAAUUCUGAAAAAACAGAUGAUGAUAGCUGGCUUUCUUCAGAAGAGGAGGAACUAGGCUCCAGCCCCAAGAAACCAGAAAAACCAAGUUUGGCUCGGCUAAUGAAAGUUCCAUGGGACUUCUUGAAAAAAUGUAAGUUGCGUGAACAAAAUAAGUUAUGGUUAUAUUUCUUAUCUAUAGAAAACGUUUACUGCAUUUUAAUUCUCUGUGUGUUUGUAUUUUGAUGCAGUAGAUGAGAAAGAUUGCACUAUCCGAACAGAACCCUUAGGCAGUUCACAGCAAAAUAAAGCAAAUUAUGAUUUUGAAGAAUGCA